rnacentral:rRNA from 1 species
AUUGAACGCUGGCGGCAGGCCUAACACAUGCAAGUCGAGCGAGCGGCGGACGGGUGAGUAAUGUCUGGGAAACUGCCUGAUGGAGGGGGAUAACUACUGGAAACGGUAGCUAAUACCGCAUACCAUCAGAUGUGCCCAGAUGGGAUUAGCUAGUAGGUGGGGUAACGGCUCACCUAGGCGACGAUCCCUAGCUGGUCUGCUAGGAUGACCAGCCAAACGGGAACUGAGACACGGGCCAGAAUCCUACGGGAGGCAACAGGGGGGAAUAUUGCACAAUGGGCGCAAGCCUGAUGCAGCCAUGCCGCGGGUUUGAAGAAGGCCUUCGGGUUUUAAAGCACGUUCAGCGGGGAGGCGUUACCCGCAGAAGAAGCACCGGCUAACUCCGUGCCAGCAGCCGCGGUAAUAC